rnacentral:rRNA from 1 species
AGCUCGCGGCCUAUCAGCUUGUUGGUGAGGUAAUGGCUCACCAAGGCGACGACGGGUAGCCGGCCUGAGAGGGCGACCGGCCACACUGGGACUGAGACACGGCCCAGACUCCUACGGGAGGCAGCAGUGGGGAAUAUUGCACAAUGGGCGAAAGCCUGAUGCAGCGACGCCGCGUGAGGGAUGAAGGCCUUCGGGUUGUAAACCUCUUUCAGCAGGGAAGAAGCGCAAGUGACGGUACCUACAGAAGAAGCACCGGCUAACUACGUGCCAGCAGCCGCGGUAAUACGUAGGGUGCGAGCGUUGUCCGGAAUUAUUGGGCGUAAAGAGCUUGUAGGCGGUUUGUCGCGUCUGCCGUGAAAAUCCGGGGCUCAACUCCGGACUUGCGGUGGGUACGGGCAGACUAGAGUGUGGUAGGGGAGACCGGAAUUCCUGGUGUAGCGGUGAAAUGCGCAGAUAUCAGGAGGAAUCCCCCGCCGCGCCCCGCG